AUACGGAGGGUGCAAGCGUUGUUCGGAAUUACUGGGCGUAAAGCGCGCGUAGGUGGUCUGUUAUGUCAGAUGUGAAAGUCCACGGCUCAACCGUGGAAGUGCAUUUGAAACUGGCAGACUUGAGUACUGGAGGGGGUAGUGGAAUUCCCGGUGUAGAGGUGAAAUUCGUAGAUAUCGGGAGGAAUACCGGUGGCGAAGGCGACUACCUGGCCAGAUACUGACGCUGAGGUGCGAAAGCGUGGGGAGCAAACAGGAUUAGAAACCCCAGUAGUCC
rnacentral:rRNA from 1 species